AAAGUCCUGCUGUAGAAGGUAGAGCCAGUACUACUACAUAGCGAGUCUUGCAACUCUGGCGGUAACAAAAGAGUUGAAGCGUAGACAGCGAAAUUUGCGAGCCGUAACAAACGUGAACAUGAAUUAGCCUCGAAAGUGGUCAUCAUGGCUGCUGAUACCGUCGCAUAGGUAGCAAGCAACAGACAUAGAACGGUCAACUGGUAAAUCCAAUCUAUGUCAGCCAUCGGGGUUCUAAAUGA
rfam:Legionella nautarum strain ATCC 49506 Lnau_ctg024, whole genome shotgun sequence.